UACGUAGGGGGCAAGCGUUGUCCGGAAUUACUGGGUGUAAAGCGCGUGUAGGUGGUAGGCCAAGUCUGCUGUGAAAUCGCCCGGCUUAACUGGGCGCGGUCGGUGGAAACUGGUCAACUGGAGGACGGUAGAGGCGAGUGGAAUUCCCGGUGUAGUGGUGAAAUGCGUAGAGAUCGGGAGGAACACCAGUGGCGAAGGCGGCUCGCUGGGCCGGUCCUGACACUGAGACGCGAAGGCGUGGGGAGCGAACGGG
rnacentral:rRNA from 1 species